rnacentral:rRNA from 1 species
AUUGAACGCUGGCGGCAGGCCUAACACAUGCAAGUCGAACGAGUGGCGGACGGGUGAGUCAUGUAUGGGAAACUGCCCGAUGGAGGGGGAUACCUACUGGAAACGGUAGCUAAUACCGCAUACCAUCGGAUGUGCCCAGAUGGGUUUAGCUAGUGGGUGGGGUAACGGCUCACCUAGGCGACGAUCCCUAGCUGGUCUGAGAGGAUGACCGGCCACACUGGAACGGAGACACGGGCCAGACUCCUACGGGAGGCAGAAGUGGGGAAUAUUGGACAAGGGGCGCAAGCUGGAUGCAGCCAUGCGGCGUGUAUGAAGAAGGCCUUCGGGUUGUAAAGUACUUUCAGCGAGGAGGCGUUACCCACAGAAGAAGCACCGGCUAACUCCGUGCCAGCAGCCGCGGUAAUAC